rnacentral:rRNA from 1 species
GACGAACCGAGCGAACGUUGUUCGGAAUCACUGGGCUUAAAGGGCGCGUAGGCGGGCUGCCGCGUCCGGGGUGAAAUCCUCCCGCUUAACGGGAGAACGGCCUCGGAUACGGGCGGCCUCGAGGGGGGUAGGGGCAUCUGGAACUGUGGGUGGAGCGGUGAAAUGCGUUGAUAUCCACAGGAACUCCGGUGGCGAAGGCGAGGUGCUGGACCCCAUCUGACGCUGAGGCGCGAAAGCCAGGGGAGCGAACGGG